rnacentral:lncRNA from 1 species
GUAAUGUCUUAGGUUUGAAAGCAAUAUCAUGGCAAAGGAUUACCGUGGCGCAGAAUUCAUAAAUCAUCAAUUUUCUAGACAAAUUCUCGGAUAAAUUUCAGGAUAUAAUAGAUACUACUUUGAGCUUGAGCUUGAGCUUGGUCCCGUGGUUGCUACUCGACUGUAGCAAGAUCAGCUGCACUUACAUAAGCAACAAUGGCGCCUGUCAUGCCAGGCAGACCAAUGAAGAGAAGGGGCAGGAAUUGGUGUUGCAUUUGAAACUGGCCCACAAUAAACCGGAUAUACCCCUGCAUUUUCGCCAGAUCUUAGAGGCAACAUUUAGUCGCUACCAGCACAUUUAGUCGCACCAGCACGCUACCAGUACAUACACAGAACAAAGUUAAUUGUUUAAGUUCGAGGUAGCUUACGUUAU